UUUAUCUUCUUGUGGUUAGUGUCCUGGUGAUGUUUAUGAGCACUAUUGGGUGAUCUGAAUAGCUAAUAUAAGUAACUUGCUUUAAUCAAGCUUGGGGGGGGGGGGGGUUUAAAUAAACAAGUAAAUAAAUAAAUGAAAUCAAGAUUUAUUUAUUUAUUUAUUUAUUUAUUUAUUUAUUUAUUUAUUUAUUUUUAAAAUAACCAAGUAUGUUACUCAAUAAGUUUGUGGCCAACAGAACAACGAGCAAAAACCAUGUUGAAAGCUUUAUUUGACCUUCUUUGAGCAGGUACCAAAAUCUGUCAGCAUUCAUGCACAAAAUACUUCAACAAGCAACAGAGACUGCGAUACCAACAUUUUGAAGAAAGAAGCAAGUGAAUACAGUGAAGAAUGAAACACUGCAGCAUUGCAGUCUCUUUUCUUAGACGUGUUGACACGAAACGCUCCCCAGGUCCAAGGAGUCGGCUGCAGGUUUUUAAAAGAGAUGUAAGUGUUACCAGCGUAUGGAUUUGGGAGCACAAAAAGGUAAAGGAGGGUUAGGCUGGGCACACAUUAAGUUCUCUGCACACCUACCCUACAGAUAAAACAGUGACUACAGCAGAUUCAAGUCUAAGCAGACAGGGAAGGCUUUAUCAUUUGAAACCCACAAUGCAGUAAGAGUAAAAGAAAAAUAGAAUAAGAAGCAAAGGAUAAAAGCAUACUUUAUAAACAUUGAUGAGAUUAUUCAAAAUAGCAAUAUAAACAUUAGUGACAAUAAUUAUCAGGAUCAGUUGUAAAUGUUACCAGUUCAGUGUCACAACUUUUCCACAACUACACAAAUAGUCCCUGAGAGCAGUGUGGGGUUGAUCUUUGAAAAAUACUCACAAGUUUCCCAGUAAAACUGGAAACGUACUUUUGCUUUAAAUUGUGCUCGCUUCUUCUGUUGGUAUGUUGUAUUUGUUGUAACCUUUGCUUCCAUGACGGCCAGGUCUCUCUUGGAAAAUUAAAUCUCGAUGAGACUUUUACCUGGAUCCAUCAGCCCAAGCUGCGAAACACUGCAAUUAUAAGAAGACACCCAUAAGUGAUUACAUCCAGGAAGUGGUUUUUUGUUGCACUUUUCUGUUUUUUUUUUUUUAAAUUACUGUAAUUUUCAUGUGCUAAGAAUUUAAUUUAACUGAUUUAAGAUCUCACUGCUUCUUACUUAAGGUUUUUUGUCUUUUUUGUGUACAAAUAAAUUCACAUAGAAGGUUCAAACACACAGAUCUGUUCAUACACACUACUGACUAUCACAGCAUGACCAAUAACGAGCCUUUAAAAUACACUAAUUACAGAGUGUACACAGUCUCAGUGGGUACAGUGAGUCACAGGCUCCCAGGUGGUGUGUUUUGGUUGAAAAGCUGCUGCUGUGGCACACUUCUGGAUCAUCGCAACACUUAAACAUUUUUUUUAAUCAGUGUGUGAUCAAAUAUGGAACUUUUCCAUCUUUUAACUAGCCAGUACUGAGACAUUUUUUUUGUAGUGUCUGUCCCAAAUUACAGAUCCUGAUUCUCGUUGAUGGUGAGAGAGACCAGUGAAAUGUUCAGGCUUUUAAUAGUUUCUCAAAUAUUCGUGUUCGAGCAUUGCCUCAGAUUUCAAUGUGUGAAAAACAGGAAGUGUGUCAAUAAACAACUUUUCAAAAUAAUCUAUCUUGAAAACUAUUUGAUAUAUGAAGCCAAAAUUUCACAGCAAUCAUAAAUGUUCAAAAUUAUUUAUGCAAAUCGAUGGUCAAGCAGAAGGCUUGGUUGAUUU
ensembl:lncRNA